GGUAGCACACCAAACAAAAUUUGGCAGGCAAAAUGAAACAAGCACUGCAACCAGGGCAACAGAACUUGUUGGAGAAACACUGCACGCAAUGCUCGAAUUUAUAGGGUGAAAAUGUUGAUGUGGGGGCGGGCUAGAGAAAUCCACAUGUAGCAAAAGUCUUUGUAGUAAACAACCAAUUGCAAACUAAGGAAAAACGCAACCAAUAGGGAAAGUAUGCACAUCCUCUCCAUCGGAUUCCUUUUCAACAUCCCCCUCACAGUCGACGAUGGAAGCGCAGAAGUGCUACGCGGUCUCCGAGGACGAUUAUUCUGAUUGUCUCCUGACGGGGGAUCUUCCUCUUGUGAAGACAUUGAAGCCACCACCCAGAACUUUCUUUAUACAAUAUGAUGAGCAUCUGCGACGCUGUCGUUGUGGUGGAUUGUGGUCAUCGAAUCCAUCUCAUUGGCUAGACAAUAACAUCCGACCUUAUCUCGGUUGCCAUCCAAGCUCGGAUCAACCAUGAAGCCCAGUGAACGAUUUGCUUUGACGGUACAAUGGCUGAUGUACAAGGAUUUGAUGAAAUUAAACUCCUAUCUGAACUGCAA